GCUUAACACAUGCAAGUCGAGCGGAGAUGAGGUGCUUGCACCUUAUCUUAGCGGCGGACGAGCGAGUAACACGUUGGAAUCUGCCCCGAACUCAGGGAUAACAUCUAGAAAUAGGUGCUAAUACCGGAUAGUCAUUGCGCUUCGCGCAACUUAUAACCGAUAACUUAUAAUCACUAACAAGUUAGUAGUUACUAGUUAAAAGUUAAUGGUUGCGCGAAGCGCAAUGUAAAGUUUUUCGGUUCGGAAGGAGCCUGCGGCCUAUCAGCUUGUUGGUAAGGUAAAAGCUUACCAAGGCUAUGACGGGUAACUGGUCUGAGAGGAUGAUCAGCCGCGAUGGGACUGAGACACGGCCCAUACUCCUACGGGAGGCAGCAGUAAGGAAUCUUCCACAAUGGACGAAAGUCUGAUGGAGCAACACCGCGUGGUUGAUGAAGCCCUUCGGGGUGUAAAGACCUUUUCUGGGAGAAGAAUUCUGACGGUAUCCUAGGAAUAAGCACCGGCUAACUCUGUGCCAGCAGCCGCGGUAAUACAGAGGGUGCGAGCGUUAAUCGGAUUUACUGGGCGUAAAGCGUGCGUAGGCGGCUUUUUAAGUCGGAUGUGAAAUCCCCGAGCUUAACUUGGGAAUUGCAUUCGAUACUGGGAAGCUAGAGUAUGGGAGAGGAUGGUAGAAUUCCAGGUGUAGCGGUGAAAUGCGUAGAGAUCUGGAGGAGUACCGAUGGCGAAAGCAGCCAUCUGGCCUAAUACUGACGCUGAGGUACGA
rnacentral:rRNA from 1 species